GGUUUUUGAACAGUAAAAAUCACUUUUAAAAAUCACUUUUUUUAUAUGUGUAUCUGCAUUUUUUGUUGACCUGCCUGCUCUUACUCUAAAAAAGUGAUGUGACAUUCAGACAUUUGUUUGUGGUCUUUGUGCAUGAUACAUAAUUUCCCUUUUUGCAUGAACCUUGUACGCUUGUGAGGAUGUGUGUGUGCUGUAGGUGGGGCAUGCACAGAAUCAAAAUAAAAGCACGGCCACAUUCUUUAAGGGUGGAUGUGGAGAAAACAUUUGAGAGGUGCCAAAACAUACACCUCUAUGCCAGAAUCACUUCUCCGCUCUGGAACUGCUUGAAACCGCUGCUGAUCUACAGGACGCAUCCAGCUGAUGUGAAUAUUUCUGUCUGUACUAAAGUUAUAGUGGACAGGCUACUGCCAACAUUCUUCAAAAUAUCUUUUUAGAAGAAAGAAACUCAUAAAAGUUGGGAACAACUUGAGGGUGAGUAAAUGAUGACAGAAUUAGCUUUAAUACAGCGUACGAUGUUUGGAGUUGAUGGGCUUGAUCAGCUUUUGUGGUACUCUGAAGAAGAAAACAGCUGGAUGCUCUUGGUUUUUUUCAUCAGUGUGUUCAUCAUCUUCAUCCUCCGGGUCAUUGCUGCAGUGUUUGUCCUCCUCCCAAAUACGGUGGGAAGAGCAAAAAUGAGGAUUGCUUGCAACAUGCUAUUCAUUGUGGACUUGCAUGACGACAGAACAACAUGACACUUUAAUAAAGGACAGCUGUUCAACUUUAAUAACAAUGAUUAAUAAACUUGAUAAUGAGGUCAUAAAACUUCUGUGUCAGUAAAUCCUCUUGUGGAAUCAUUAAAAGCUUGAAAACUGAAAUAGUUUUAUUAAAUUACUUAGACGAUGCUUUAUUCCAAAGCAACUUACAAAUGAGAAGAGCAAAAAGAAGCAACCUUCCUUUCUGUUGUAAACUAUAAAAUAUGGAGAAUAACUGCAUAGCUAUAGCUUUAUUUGCUGAAUGUUGUUUCUUUUUAUAUAUAUAUUGCUCUUAUGGAUCUAACAGCACCAGAAAUCUUAGAAUGCUGCAAUACUGCCCACAUGAGGAUCAUUUCCAUCAUUACAGUUUGGAUCACUGUCAAACCUAUUUAUCUUCUGAGCUUUUAUUCAUAUACAUAAGAACAUUGCCUGUGUCAUAUUUAUUCUUUAAAUGAUUGUUUAUGUGUGUGUGUGUGUGUGUGUGUGUGAGUGUGUGUGGAGAUGUGAAGACCAGAGGGAUGCAAUGGUGUGUGUUUGUUCUGUGGAAAUCAUUUCAGUCACUUCUUGGGCAGGCUGUAGGGCUCCAGCAG